rnacentral:rRNA from 1 species
GAUGAACGCUGGCGGCGUGCCUAAUACAUGCAAGUCGAACGAGGUGCUUUUGUAGCAAUACGUGAGUAUCCUAGUGGCGAACGGGUGAGUAACGCGUUGGUGACCUACCCCAAAGUGUGGGAUAACAGUCCGAAAGGAUUGCUAAUACCGCAUGUGGUCAUUGGCUUCAGAAACCGAUGACUAAAGGAGCAAUUCGCUUUGGGAGGGACCUGCGUCCCAUCAGCUAGUUGGUGAGGUAACGGCUCACCAAGGCGACGACGGGUAGGGGACCUGAGAGGGUGGCCCCCCACAAUGGAACUGAAACACGGUCCAUACACCUACGGGUGGCAGCAGUAGGGAAUAUUGCACAAUGGGCGAAAGCCUGAUGCAGCAACGCCGGGUGUGUGAUGAAGGCCUUCGGGUCGUAAAGCACUUUUCUGGGAGAUGAGAAAGGACAGUAUCCCAGGAAUAAGUCUCGGCUAACUACGUGC